UACGGAGGGAGCUAGCGUUUGUUCGGAAUUACUGGGCGUAAAGCGCACGUAGGCGGCUUUGUAAGUUAGAGGUGAAAGCCUGGGGCUCAACCCCAGAAUUGCCUUUGAUACUGCAUGGCUUGAAUCCAGGAGAGGUGAGUGGAAUUCCGAGUGUAGAGGUGAAAUUCGUAGAUAUUCGGAAGAACACCAGUGGCGAAGGCGGCUCACUGGACU
rnacentral:rRNA from 1 species